CGGACUGUAAGUGUGAUUAAGUGAUGAAAGCCUGCCUGAAAAGAAAUAUUUUUUAUCAUCGGCUAGAGGAGAGCAGGGAGUGGGACAUUCUGACUUCUGUCUCCUCCAGCACAAUAAUAAAUAAUAAUAAUACUUUAUUUUUCUAUCCCGCCACCAUCUCCCCGAAGGGACUCAGGGCAUCUAACAUGGGACCAAGCCUAAAACAGAACAAAACAAGUUAAAACAAGUAUCAAUAACUAAAAACAAUGUCAACACAGCAAUCAAAUAAAAUAAACAAUUAAAUAAUUCAAUUGCAAUUAAAACACAAAAUACAAUAUGCAACCAUCAUUACUAUAUGAAAUUGAGGUAGUAAAACAAGCAUCACCACUGAUGGAUAAAAUGGGGGCAGUUGUAUAAAAGUGCAUAAUUUCAAGACCAUUUAAAUAAAGUGCAUGGACAUGAGUCAGAGGAUUUCCUGAGAAGAUUUGGGAUAGAAUGGAUAGGGAGGAAAAUAAAGUGUGAGGAAGCAGCAGAUGUUGACCAUAGGGUUGCACUGGAGGACCUCUCAUAUAAGAAAAAUAGCAACUCCAGUAAAUGUAGAGGACUGAUUCAAGUUGCAUUCACCAUGUGUUAGAGUCAGCUGUCAUGGAGGUCUGAAUUAUUAUAUCCAAAGCAAAUUAGUGGUCUGGAGGCAAAUAGAGGAACAAGAGAGAAACAUUUUAAGGAGGCGAAGCUGUGUUCCAGUUUCCUGAUGUCAAAAUGAUUAAGUUAGGUAAAUCAGGAGGCUACAGCUGCAUUUACUGAAUAUACACAGAAACCUAUUUGAUCAAUCCUUUACACCUGGAUUAAAUGAGUGCAACAUUUCAGCUGACUUAGCAUGAUACAAUUGGCAAUCUCUGCACCUUUUCAAACUGUUACUUACAAACACCAUCAAAUUCUCCUCUCCUGGCUUCAGCACAUUCUAACAACUCCAUUCCUCCAUAGCUCCCUGUUUUCUGCUUCCUACAGGCGGGAGGGCUGAUAAACCAGCCCAGGCUCCCGUUCAACAAAUUAAGACAAAAAUUGAGAAUGGGAAGAAUGGAACAGCUAUACAAGGCCCUUUCAACUGGCAACAUGAGGAAUUAUCUGUUAGGAUGCACCUCAUUUCAGUGGAGGAUGGUUCAUAUGUUGGAUGCAAGGUACUUCAGGGGAUUGCAAGAUGAAACAAUCAGACUUUCCUCACCUUCUUUGUCACUUCUUCCAAAGGGGAACUGUGUUGCCCUUCUGGACAAGCAUGAUGGAAAGAAACAGAACAAAACGGAAUCUCAUCUAUUUCAGGAGGCAUUCAUGCUCCUCGACCCAACAUUUUCCCCAGAGGACUGUGGCCUGUAAUCCCUUUAAACUAUUCCAGCAAGCACAAACAAUAUUGCUCUACUAAAGUCUAUCCCUUGCCCCACUCUACCAAUAAUUAUAAUCAUAAUCAUA